rnacentral:rRNA from 1 species
AACGAACGCUGGCGGCAGGCCUAACACAUGCAAGUCGAACGCCCCUUCGGGGGAGUGGCAGACGGGUGAGUAACGCGUGGGAACCUUCCCUGUGGUACGGAAUAGCUCCGGGAAACUGGAAUUAAUACCGUAUACGCCCUUCGGGGGAAAGAUUUAUCGCCAUAGGAUGGGCCCGCGUCGGAUUAGCUAGUUGGUGAGGUAACGGCUCACCAAGGCUACGAUCCGUAGCUGGUCUUAGAGGAUGAUCAGCCACACUGGGACUGAGACACGGCCCAGACUCCUACGGGAGGCAGCAGUGGGGAAUAUUGGACAAUGGGCGCAAGCCUGAUCCAGCCAUGCCGCGUGAGUGACGAAGGCCUUAGGGUUGUAAAGCUCUUUUGGCGGGGACGAUAAUGACGGUACCCGCAGAAUAAGCCCCGGCUAACUUCGUG